rnacentral:rRNA from 1 species
UACGUAGGGUGCAAGCGUUAUCCGGAAUUAUUGGGCGUAAAGAGCUUGUAGGCGGCUUGUUGCGUCUGCUGUGAAAACCGGAGGCUCAACCUUCGGCCUGCAGUGGGUACGGGCAAACUAGAGUGCGGUAGGGGAGAUUGGAAUUCCUGGUGUAGCGGUGGAAUGCGCAGAUAUCAGGAGGAACACCGAUGGCGAAGGCAGAUCUCUGGGCCGUAACUGACGCUGAGGAGCGAAAGCGUGGGGAGCGAACAGG